rnacentral:rRNA from 1 species
GUUAUUCGGAAUAACUGGGCGUAAAGGGCGCGUAGGCGGUCUAUCCAGUUGGGCGUGAAAGCCCUGGGCUCAACCCAGGAAUUGCGUUCAAUACUAAUAGACUAGAGACCGAGAGAGGAUAGUGGAAUUUCCAGUGUAGAGGUGAAAUUCGUAGAUAUUGGAAAGAACACCAGUGGCGAAAGCGGCUAUCUGGCUCGGAACUGACGCUGAGGCGCGAAAGCGUGGGGAGCAAACAGGAUUAGAUACCCUGGUAGUCCACGCCGUAAACGAUGUCUGCUAGGUGUCGGGAGGUUACCUCUCGGUGCCGCCGCUAACGCAUUAAGCAGACCGCCUGGGAAGUACGGCCGCAAGGCUAAAACUCAAAGGAAUUGACAGGGGCCCGCACAAGCGGUGGAGCAUGUGGUUUAAUUCGAGGCAACGCGAAGAACCUUACCAGCCCUUGACAUGGGUAGUAUGGAUUUUGGAGACAAUUUCCUUCAGUUCGGCUGGCUACCACACAGGUGCUGCAUGGCU